UGAGGAAUCUUGCGCAAUGGGGGAAACCCUGACGCAGCAACGCCGCGUGAGUGAGGAAGGUUUUCGAAUCGUAAAGCUCUGUCAGGUGGAAAGAAAUGUAUGGUUGUUAAUAGCCUCCAUACUUGACGGUACCACCAGAGGAAGCACCGGCUAACUCCGUGCCAGCAGCCGCGGUAAUACGGGGGGUGCAAGCGUUGUUCGGAAUCAUUGGGCGUAAAGAGCGUGUAGGCGGCUUGAUAAGUCAGAUGUGAAAGCCCUGGGCUUAACCCAGGAAGUGCAUUUGAUACUGUCUGGCUAGAGUAAGGGAGAGGAAAGCGGAAUUCCUGGUGUAGAGGUGAAAUUCGUAGAUAUCAGGAGGAACACCGGUGGCGAAGGCGGCUUUCUGGCCCUAUACUGACGCUGAGACGCGAGAGCGUGGGUAGCAAACAGG
rnacentral:rRNA from 1 species